ACUUGUUAUCGGAUAGGACGGGACGUUUGACGUGCCGUGCGGUUUUGUUCGUUUUGAGGUUAUCUUCCCGUAAAUCCAAUUAUUCCCUUGUGUUUUUGUGUGGUGGUAGUUAAUUUUAAGUUCGCUUAGGUUUCCUGGAUCAAACUCCUGUUUCCCCUCGAAUUGCACCGAACAUUUUCCAAAUGUGCUACUUUGAACAAAACGUCGUAGUUGGCCAAAUACGUCUCACACAACAGAGAUGUGAAUGCCAUUAA